UGCCGCCGCCGCCGCCGCCGCCGAGAGACGGUACUGGGAGGCCUGGAGAGAGGCAGGGCGGGCAAAACGCGGCAUUGUGGGAGUUGUAGUUCCUAACUGACCACGGGAAGCUUACACAACCUUUGAGGAACUCCAACUCCCAGAGAGUACAGCGAGCGCUCCUUCGCCCUCGGGCUCCCUGUGGUUCAUUGGUCCCUGCAGAAUUCAGGUCACAGUCCUUGUUUUCCAAGUGGUCUUUGGACUUUGACUUGCCUGAAGAAAGGAUGAUGCAACCAAGUGUGAUCCCAUCGGGCCCUGCCUGACCACUCCUGCUUAUCUCUUCUAUUCCUGCACUGAGACAUGUACCCUUCCUUAAAGCACAAGUCCUGCGAGUUCAGUGAGUGGUGUCUAGCCUUUCCUGCCUCCGGGCUCCUGUUCAUCCAGUCUAGGUUCCUGUCCUUCUGGCUUGUGCCAUCCAGCUGUAGCUGACCUUCCACACCAUGUCAACAAAGUUUACUAGUUCACUAAAAAGGUCAGUGAAGAAAUCACCAAAUUGGUUCAACCAACCCAGUUGAGACCCAGGUAUCCAGCAACAGACCAGAUGAUUAAAAGAAACCUGGGAAGUUCUUUGGGGGAAAACAUAGGUACACACAAUCCCCCUUUACAAAAAAUCUGCAGCCAAAAUUGCUCCCCCUUUCUCUUCCAGGGUAGGAGGAAGUUUGGUAGAGGGGAUUGACAUCUACAAGAUGAAUUUUGUGAUUAACAAUUAUUACCAAGAGCCAGAACUGCCUGUCUAAAAAAUGGCUGGCCCAAAGUGUCCUUUGCUGGUAGGACAGGACACAUUUUCAUAGAAGUGAUUUUUUUCUGGAACGUUUUAUCUGGAAUGAUUGAAGUAUGAGAGCUAGGGACCAAGUCUUGGAAUUCCUAGUCUACCUUGGCUCUGUUCCCAACAAUAUACUCCAGCUAACGCUGAGGCUACCCAGAGUAUAAACAACCAGCCUUCUGCAAAUCAGAGCAAGACUGAUCCACCAGGAGAUGGUGGAAGCAUUUCAAAUUGACCAGACUAAUCCCUCUUUUAUUUACAAGUAAACUAUCUUUAGUUGAGAAUCAAGUCCUGCUGGGUUUGAAUCCUAAGCGAUACUUGUUUGUACACCCUUGGCGCCACACUGAUGUCACUGCAGCCUCCAGCUCGUCCCUCUAUCUGCCCUCUCGCUCACUCCCAUCAGUUCUCUACCCAGUAGCCAGUGUGAUCAUUCUAAAAUACAAUCUGAUCCCUUCAAAUCCUCCUUACCUUGUGGGAAGGUUCCAAGCUUUUUACUAUGACGUCCAAGGUCCUUUCUGAUGGGGCCACACUCACCCUGCCUUACCUCUCCCCACUCUCUGCUUCAUCCUUUAUCCUCCAGCACUUGGGUGGCCCCUAACGAUAUCCAGGAGCUAGUCCCUAGAACCUGUGAAGUAUGUUACCUUCCUUACACUUUGCAGGUAUGAUGAGGUUAAGGACUUUGAGACGGGGAAGAUUAUCCUGGAUAAUAUGGAUGGGGUCUAAAUGUAAUCACAGGUAUCUCUAUCAGAGGGAGGGAAGGAGAUUAGACUACAGAAGAGGAGAAGCAACCUGACCUCUCCGACCACAGAGGCAGACAUUGGAGUCAUGAGGCCGUGGGCCAAAGAAUACCCACAGCUACCAGAAGCUGCAAGAGACAAGGAAGGGUUCUCUCCCCUGGAGUUCCCAGGAGAAACCAGCCCUGCCAGCAUCUUGAUUUUAGCUCCAUACUCUUCCGUUCAGACCUCUGGCCUCCAGAACUUCAAGAGAAUACAUUUCUGUUGUUGGAAGCCACUAAAUUUAUGGAAACUUGUCACAGCGGCGAUAGGAAACUAACACAAACUCUGUCACAUGACAGUGGUUGCCAACUCAUCCUGCUGGCCUUUCCCCUGGGGGUGCGCUCCCCUUUCUUGAAGAUGCCUCCCCACAUCCUUUGCCUGCUUUACUCCUAUUCCUUCCUUAAGAUUCAGCCUUAGGGACUUCCCUGGUGGUCCAGUGGCUAAGACUCCGCGUUCCCAAUGCAGGGGGCCCAGGUUCGAUCCCUGGUUAGGGAACUAGAUUCCACAUGCUGCAGUUUAGAGUUUGUGUGAUACAACUAAAAGAUCCUGCAUGAGGAACUAAGACCCUGUGCAGCCAAAUAAAUAAAUACUAAAAAAAGAAAGAUUCAGCCUCAGUACUACAUCUGCUUUCCUGGUUAGCCCAGGCUGGGUGAGGAUCCCAGCUCUGUCUGAGCAUCUCCUUACACUGCAGUCACCACACAAUAUGAUCACGGUGUUUAUGCAUUUGACUCCCCGAAUAGGCUGUGAGCCUCUCAGGGGCAGAAAUCAAGAGCGGGUCUUCCUCUUGUCCUCCAUGUGUUCAGUUCAGUUCAGUCGCUCAGUCGUGUCCGACUCUUUGCCACCCCAUGAACCACAGCACACCAGGCCUCCCUGUCCAUCUGCGUAGUUUCUCACAUA